rnacentral:rRNA from 1 species
CCCUUAGAUGUCCUGGGCCGCACGCGCGCUACACUGAGUGUCUGAGAUACGAGUCUGCCUGGUCCGGCAAGGUCUAGGUAAUCGCUAAAAGACACAUCAUGCUUGGGAUAGAUUAUUGCAAAUAUUAAUCUUGAACGAGGAAUUCCUAGUAAGCGCAAGUCAACAGCUUGCGUUGAUUACGUCCCUGCCCUUUGUACACACCGCCCGUCGCUACUACAGAGUGCCCGUGUCCAAGAAACGGUCGGACCUGUGCGGCCUCUCCGGGCGACCGGAGGGCCGUUACGGGGAAGACCCUUUAUUUGACGCGGGUCGAUGAAGUAAAAGUCGUAACA